UACGUAGGGGGCUAGCGUUGUCCGGAGUUACUGGGCGUAAAGAGUGCGUAGGCGGUUUUCUAAGUUUGGUGUGAAAUCUCCCGGCUUAACUGGGAGGGUGCGCCGAAAACUGGAAGGCUUGAGUAUGGGAGAGGUAAGCGGAAUUCCUGGUGUAGCGGUGAAAUGCGUAGAUAUCAGGAGGAACACCUGCGGUGUAGACGGCUUACUGGACCAUAACUGACGCUGAGGCACGAAAGCGUGGGUAGCAAACAGG
rnacentral:rRNA from 1 species